GCACAGCCUGGAGCCCUACUACUGCAUGGUGGUAGAAAUCACAGCCCAGGAGGCUCCAUAGUGAAGGGUUUUCAGAGGAGGACACGCCUGCCCCCAGGUUCCUACAAUAUAGGAUCCGCUCAGUGGAUAUCUUCUAUAUAAGAUCCUUCUCCUGAUUGACCCGACAAGGAUGGACAAGGAGAAGAUGGCGGAGAGUAUAAUAAAUCUCACCCUAGAGAUCCUCUUCCGGCUUACUGGAGAGGACUACACAGUAGUGAAGAAGACCUCUAAUGAGCGCUGUCAGGACCCUGUGUCUGAAG